UACGAAGGGGGCUAGCGUUGCUCGGAAUCACUGGGCGUAAAGCGCACGUAGGCGGAUUGUUAAGUCAGGGGUGAAAUCCUGGAGCUCAACUCCAGAACUGCCUUUGAUACUGGCGAUCUCGAGUCCGGGAGAGGUGAGUGGAACUGCGAGUGUAGAGGUGAAAUUCGUAGAUAUUCGCAAGAACACCAGUGGCGAAGGCGGCUCACUGGCCCGGUACUGACGCUGAGGUGCGAAAGCGUGGGGAACAAACAGG
rnacentral:rRNA from 1 species